rnacentral:rRNA from 1 species
UGUGGAGUGAAACUUGUAGAUACUCGUUGGAUCACCACUCGUUAAGGCUCCGCAGCUAGCUCGAUACAAUCGCUGAGUUUCGACAGUGUAGGUAGCAAGCAUGAUUAGAUAUUCCGGUAGUCCACACCGUAAACGAUGAGUGCCAGUGGUCGGGUAGAAUACUAUUCGGUGACACACCUAGCGGAUAAAGCAUUCAUCCUGGGGAGUACGGUCGCAUAGAUUAAAAAUCAAAGGAAGUGACGGGUGUCCGCACAAGCGGAAGAGCAUGUGGUUUAAUUCGAAGCAACGCGCAGAACCUUACCAACCUUUGACAUCCUGUGCCACUACCUGAGCACGUACGUACCCUUUGGGGGCGCAUUGACAGGUGAUCACAUGGCUGUCCUCAGCUCGUGUAGUGAGAUGUUAGGUUAAGUCCGGCAACGAGGGCAACUCACAUCUUUGUUUGCCAGCAGUUUGGCUGGGCUCUUUAAAGAAUCUCCUCUUGAUAAGCGGGAGGAAGGUGUGGAUGACGUCAAGUCCUCAUGGACGUUACGGGUUGGGCUACACACGUGCUACAAUGGCAGAAACAAUGGGUUAAUCGCAAAAAGCUGUCUCAGUUCGGAUUGGGGUCUGCAACUCGACCCCAUGAAGUCGGAAUCGCUAGUAAUCGCGUAACAGCAUGACGCGGUGAAUACGUUCCCGGGCCUUGCCACACCGGCCA